rnacentral:sRNA from 1 species
AGCUGUGGGGUCUAGGGCUCAGACGGGGGCCAUUUUGCCAGAGGCUGCCUCCCGGAGUUGGGGGCGGCCUGGCGGCAGGCUGAAGCUGUUCUUUUGCCUCUUCUGCAGCUUGGGGCUUGGAGAGGAUCUGGAAGUCUGGGCUCCAUCGAGCCCUUUGGAGACAGCAAUGGUUUCUUCCAACCACCACCACCUGACAACCCUGCAUGGCGGCUGCCCCCUCCGCGCUGCUUCUGCUGCCGCCCUUUCCAGUCCUCUCUACCUAUCGGCUCCAGAGCCGCAGUCGUCCUUCCGCCCCAGAGACUGAUGAUAGUCGAGUUGGGGGCAUUAUGAGAGGAGAGAAAAACUACUACUUCCGUGGAGCUGCGGGGGACCACGGUUCCUGCCCCACUACAACUUCGCCUCUGGCCUCGGCCCUCUUGAUGCCCUCGGAGGCAGUCUCAAGCAGCUGGUCUGAGUCUGGAGGCGGUUUGUCAGGGGGAGAUGAAGAGGACACUCGGCUCCUUCAACUCCUCCGCACUGCCCCGGAUCCUUCUGAGGCCUUUCAGGCUUUGCAAGCUGCUUUGCCGCGGCGGGGCGGUCGACUUGGCUUCCCCCGACGCAAGGAAGCUUUGUAUCGGGCACUGGGCCGAGUGCUUGUGGAAGGAGGUAGUGAUGAGAAGCGGCUUUGCUUGCAACUUCUCUCGGACGUUCUCCGGGGUCAGGGGGAGGCAGGCCAGCUUGAAGAGGCCUUUAGCUUAGCACUUUUGCCUCAACUAGUUGUCUCGUUACGGGAAGAGAAUCCAGCCCUGCGGAAAGAUGCGCUGCAGAUCCUUCAUAUAUGUCUGAAACGUAGUUCUGGAGAGGUGCUGAGAACGCUUAUACAACAAGGACUGGAAAGUACCGAUGCCCGACUUAGAGCUUCCACAGCACUACUGCUUCCCAUCUUGCUUACUACUGAGGACUUGUUGCUUGGUCUGGAUCUCACCGAGGUGAUAAUAUCCCUAGCCCGAAAGCUUGGUGAUCAGGAGACAGAAGAAGAAUCUGAGACAGCUUUCUCCGCACUUCAACAAAUUGGGGAGCGACUUGGCCAAGACAGGUUUCAAUCUUAUAUUUCUCGUCUGCCCUCUGCCCUGAGGAGACACUACAAUCACCGCCUGGAGUCCCAGUUUGGAAGUCAGGUUCCUUAUUAUUUGGAACUUGAAGCCUCUGGAUUUCCUGAAGAUCCCCUUCCCUGUGCAGUGACUCUUUCCAACAGCAAUCUUAAAUUUGGGAUUAUUCCUCAGGAGCUGCAUUCACGAUUAUUGGAUCAGGAAGACUAUAAGAACCGGACCCAGGCCGUCGAAGAACUAAAGCAGGUGCUGGGAAAAUUUAACCCUAGUUCUACUCCUCAUUCUAGUCUUGUUGGCUUCAUUAGUUUGCUGUAUAAUUUGUUAGACGAUUCUAACUUCAAAGUGGUGCAUGGCACACUUCAAGUCCUGCAUUUACUGGUUAUUCGCCUUGGAGAGCAGGUACAGCAGUUCUUGGGACCAGUUAUAGCAGCUUCUGUCAAAGUGCUGGCGGACAACAAGUUGGUGAUCAAACAAGAAUACAUGAAAAUCUUCCUCAAGCUAAUGAAGGAAGUAGGACCUCAGCAGGUGCUUUGUUUACUCCUGGAACAUCUCAAACAUAAGCAUUCCAGAGUGAGAGAGGAGGUGGUGAACAUUUGCAUCUGCUCCCUGCUGACCUAUCCUAGUGAGGAUUUUGACUUGCCCAAACUGUCCUUUGAUCUUGCCCCAGCUCUUGUAGAUAGCAAACGCAGGGUACGCCAAGCAGCUUUAGAAGCUUUUGCCGUAUUGGCAUCAUCAAUGGGCUCAGGUAAAACCAGCAUCCUUUUUAAAGCUGUGGAUACAGUUGAACUGCAAGAUAAUGGAGAUGGAGUGAUGAAUGCUGUGCAGGCCAGAUUGGCUAGGAAAACCUUACCAAGGCUCACAGAGCAGGGAUUUGUGGAAUAUGCAGUACUGAUGCCAUCUUCUGCCGGGGGUAGGUCAAACCAUUUGGCACAUGGAGCAGAUACGGAUUGGCUUUUGGCUGGUAACAGAACUCAGAGUGCACACUGUCACUGUGGUGACCACGUGAGGGAUAGCAUGCACAUUUAUGGAUCUUACAGCCCAACUAUCUGUACCCGAAGGGUAUUAAGUGCAGGAAAAGGAAAAAAUAAAUUACCAUGGGAAAAUGAGCAACCUGGAAUCAUGGGAGAAAACCAGACCUCCACUUCCAAGGAUAUAGAGCAGUUUUCAACAUAUGAUUUCAUCCCACCUGCAAAAUUAAAGCCUUCUCAAGGAAUGCCAGUCAAUGAUGAUUUAUGUUUUAGCAGAAAAAGAGUAUCAAGAAACUUAUUUCAGAAUAGUCGGGAUUUUAACCCAGAUUGUCUUCCUUUAUGUGCUGCUGGUAAGUACAAGUUGCUGAUGAUGGUCAUGUUGAACUAACAGACUUCUCUUAACUUCAUAGUGCAUUCAAUGACUCAUAGAACUUUAAUCUAGUAGGCAGUUCAGAUUCAAUAAGUUAUUUAUUGAAGAUCUGAUAAGAAUGGACACUUAGACAUUAUUAUCUCAUAAAACCCUGGAGGGUUUCUCACUGAAAUUGUUUAAGUAUUAAUAUAGGGCAAUAUUUGCUUAAUACAUCACCCAUAUUUAUUAAGGUGCUUUUCUAAGUCCUGGAGGUCUGCCUAAUAGAGCUUGCAUUCUACUUAGGAACGAGAACAGACAUUAAAUAAAUACAAGACAUAGUAAAUUAUCUGGUGAUAAAUGCUAUGAAGGAAAACAAAGCAGAAAGAAGGCCAUAUUCAGGAAAGAAUAUUUGAAGCAAACCACUGUAUAUCAGGAGAAGAGAAUAAAUAGUUUCAGGAAGAGGGAACAGUCAGCACAAGUAACUAAGAGAGAAGUGUGUGGGGAACAUGUUUGAGAAAUACCAAAGAGACCAGUAUGUCUGGAAUGAAAUAAGAGAGGGGAAAAUAAGUAGAAAAUUAAAGACAUAAUAGGGGUGCUUAUUUAAGGCCUAGUGGACUUAUAAGUGAACUUUACUUUUUACUCUGAAUGAGGAACAUUUUGAAGAAAGAAUUGACAUCACUUGUUUCCAGGCUCGUUUUGGAUUUUAUUUUUAAAAUAGAUGAAAGUGUAUUAGUCUGUUUUCACACUGCCAUAAAGACAUACCUGAGACUGGGUAAUUUAUGAAGAAAAGAGGUUUAAUUGGCUCAUGGUUCUAUGGGCUGCACAGGCUUCUGCUUCUGGGGAAACCUCAAGAAAUUUACAAUCAUGGCGUAAGGCGAAGGUGAAACAAGCACGUCUUACAUGGUGGGAGCAAGGGGAAGAGAGUGAAGAGGAAGUACAACAUGCUUUUAACGAUCAGAUCUUGUGAGAACUCUAUCAUGAGAACAGCUCCAAAAGGAGAAAUCUGCCACAUGAUCCAGUCACCUCCCACCAGGCCUCACCUACCUCCAACAUUGGGGAUUACCAAUUCGACAUGAGAUUUGGGUGGGGACACAAAGCCAAACUGUAUCAGAGAGCAAGGUCAAAAACAGGAAGACUGAUUAAGAAUCUGUUGUAGUAAUCGUGGCUAGAGUUGAUGGAGGCUUUAACCAGGAUAGCAAGAAUGUGGUAAGAAGUGAUUGGAUUCUGGCCUGGCGCGGUGGCUCACGCCUGUAAUCCCAGCACUUUGGGGGGCCAAUGCAGGCAGAUCACACAGUCAAGAGACUGAGACCAUCCUUGCCAACAUGGUGAAACCCCGUCUCUACUAAAAAUACAAAAAUUAGCUGGACGUGUUGGUGCAUGCCUGUAAUCCCAACUACUCGAGAGGCUGAGGCAGGAGAAUCUCUUCAACCCGGGAGGCAGAGGUUGCAGUGAGUCAAGAUCGCACCACUGCACUCCAGCCUGGCAACAAAGUGAGACUCCAUCUC